GCACCAGCUUCCAGAAUUAUGGACAGAAGUACAAAAAACAGAGACCCUGGUUUCCUGUGGAUAGUGUUAAAUUUAGCAUUCAGCUCAAUUCCAUUUCCAUUCACCUUCAGACCCCAGUGAAAUAUCAAUGCCUGCCUACAGGUUCAUUUGACAGCAUGAAACAGCAAACUGAUCCAUUUUCAGAAGAGAGGUUUGGAGCUUGCUGAGAAAGGUUUUCUAGAGGUGAAUGUUCCUGUGUCCAGUGUCUGGGAAGCAGCUAC